rnacentral:rRNA from 1 species
ACAUCGCCCGGAGAUGGAUUCUGAGACACGAAUCCAGACCCUACGGGGUGCAGCAGGCGCGAAAACUUGGCAAUGCGAGAAAUCGUGACCAGGGAACUCCAAGUGCAUCGGGUAAGACCGAUGCUUUUCUUGACUCUUCAAAGGUCUUGGAAUAAGGGGUGGGUAAGGACGGUGCCAGCCGCCGCGGUAAUACCGGCGCCUCAAGUGGUAGUCGCUUUUAUUGGGCCUAAAACGUCCGUAGCCGGUUUGGUACAUUCGUGGGUAAAUCAAGGCGCUCAACGUCUUGAAUUCUGCGAGCACGGCCAGACUUGGGACCGGGUGAGGUGUGGGGUACUCUCAGGGUAGGGGUAAAAUCCUGUCAUCCUGAGAGGACCACCUGUUGCGAAGGCGCCACACUAGAACGGAUCCGACGGUCAGGGACGAAGCCUAGGGGCACGAACCGGAUUAGAUACCCGGGUAGUCCUAGGUGUAAACGCUGUGGACUUGAUGUUGGGAGUGCUCCGAGCACCCUCAGUGUCGAAGCGAAGGUGAUAAGUCCACUGCCUGGGGAGUACGGUCGCAAGGCUGAAACUUAAAGGAAUUGGCGGGGGAGCACUGCAACCUGAGGAUUGUGCGGUUUAAUUGGACUCAACGCCGGAA